AUUGAACGCUGGCGGAAUGCUUUACACAUGCAAGUCGAACGGCAGCACGGACUUCGGUCUGGUGGCGAGUGGCGAACGGGUGAGUAAUACAUCGGAACGUGCCCAGUCGUGGGGGAUAACGUAGCGAAAGCUACGCUAAUACCGCAUACGAUCUACGGAUGAAAGCGGGGGAUCGCAAGACCUCGCGCGAUUGGAGCGGCCGAUGGCAGAUUAGGUAGUUGGUGGGGUAAAGGCUCACCAAGCCGACGAUCUGUAGCUGGUCUGAGAGGACGACCAGCCACACUGGGACUGAGACACGGCCCAGACUCCUACGGGAGGCAGCAGUGGGGAAUUUUGGACAAUGGGCGCAAGCCUGAUCCAGCCAUUCCGCGUGCAGGAUGAAGGCCCUCGGGUUGUAAACUGCUUUUGUACAGAACGAAAAGGCUCUGGUUAAUACCUGGGGCUCAUGACGGUACUGUAAGAAUAAGCACCGGCUAACUACGUG
rnacentral:rRNA from 1 species